rnacentral:rRNA from 1 species
ACUGCAGCGCGAACUGGUUUCCUUGAGUACGCACAAAGUGGGCGGAAUUCGUGGUGUAGCGGUGAAAUGCUUAGAUAUCACGAAGAACUCCGAUUGCGAAGGCAGCUCACUGGAGCGCAACUGACGCUGAAGCUCGAAAGUGCGGGUAUCGAACAGGAUUAGAUACCCUGGUAGUCCGCACGGUAAACGAUGGAUGCCCGCUGUUGGUCUGAAUAGGUCAGCGGCCAAGCGAAAGCAUUAAGCAUCCCACCUGGGGAGUACGCCGGCAACGGUGAAACUCAAAGGAAUUGACGGGGGCCCGCACAAGCGGAGGAACAUGUGGUUUAAUUCGAUGAUACGCGAGGAACCUUACCCGGGCUUGAAUUGCAGAGGAAGGAUUUGGAGACAAUGACGCCCUUCGGGGCCUCUGUGAAGGUGCUGCAUGGUUGUCGUCAGCUCGUGCCGUGAGGUGUCGGCUUAAGUGCCAUAACGAGCGCAACCCCUCUCCUUAGUUGCCAUCAGGUCAAGCUGGGCACUCUGGGGACACUGCCACCGUAAGGUGUGAGGAAGGUGGGGAUGACGUCAAAUCAGCACGGCCCUUACGUCCGGGGCUACACACGUGUUACAAUGGCAGGUACAGAGAGACGGUUGUACGUAAGUACGAUCAAAUCCUUAAAGCCUGUCUCAGUUCGGACUGGGGUCUGCAACCCGACCCCACGAAGCUGGAUUCGCUAGUAAUCGCGCAUCAGCCAUGGCGCGGUGAAUACGUUCCCGGGCCUUGUACACACCGCCCGUCAAGCCAUGAAAGCCGGGGGCGCCUAAAGUCCGUGACCGUAAGGAGCGGCCUAGGGCGAAACUGGUAAUUGGGGCUAAGUCGUAACAAGGUAGCCGUACCGGAAGGUGCGGCUGGAACACCUCCUUU